rnacentral:rRNA from 1 species
CCUACGGGCGGCAGCAGUGAGGAAUAUUGGUCAAUGGGCGCGAGCCUGAACCAGCCAAGUCGCGUGAGGGAAGACGGUCCUAUGGAUUGUAAACCUCAUUUGUCGGGGAGCAAAAGACGCCACGCGUGGAGUUCCGAGAGUACCCGUAGAAAAAGCAUCGGCUAACUCCGUGCCAGCAGCCGCGGUAAUACGGAGGAUGCGAGCGUUAUCCGGAUUUAUUGGGUUUAAAGGGUGCGCAGGCGGAAGCUCAAGUCAGAGUCAAAAGUGAGAGGCUCAACCUCUUCGAGCUGUUGAAACUGGUCGUCUUGAGUGAGGGAGAAGUAUGCGGAAUGCGUGGUGUAGCGGUGAAAUGCAUAGAUAUCACGAAGAACUCCGAUUGCGAAGGCAGCAUACCGGCGCUCAACUGACGCUCAUGCACGAAAGUGUGGGGAUCGAACAGGAGUAGAUACCCUGGUAGUC